GGGAAUAAUAAUAAUAAUUGACAUUUUUCUUCCCUCCAAACUCCGUAGUCGAACCAGAGCAGAGGGAAAGCAUUAUCUAACGUUUGCUAUCUCGCCUUCCUUCUUCUUGGGUGCUUUUGUCGUUUGAUAAUUCUCAUGUUGUCGCAAACUACUCUCUCUCCGCCUCAUUCAGCCUCUCUGGACUAGUUUUAAGUAUUGAGCCCAAAAGGGGAAGAGAUUCUCGUGCUCCCGAGGUGCCCAAUCUGUUGAUCAGUCACCCAGGAUGGAGAACAACCGAGAAUUGGCGCUGACCCAGAUGAGGAAAUCAGUUCAAAAUCUUGGUUCUUCAACCCAGGUUGGUGACACGACACUCUUGCGGUUCUUGAUUGCAAGAUCAAUGGACCCGGAGAAGGCAGCAUAGUUGUUUGUGCAGUGGCAGAAAUGGAGGGCUAAUAUGGUCCCAAAUGGGUUCAUCUCUGAGGCAGAAAUAGCGGAUGAGUUGGGAGCCAAGAAAAUUUACUUGCAGGGGUUAUCAAGAAAUAGAGGGCGGCCUGUCAUGCUGAUCAAGGCUCGCAAUCACUUCCCUUCCAAAGAUCAGCUCCAAUUCAAGACAUAUGGAAUUGCAGAGGGACAUGCGUACUUUAGCAAAAUCCAGCUUGCCGAUUAUGGUUUAGUCAAUUGGUUUAUUUUGGAGAACAGAAUUCCUUCAUAGUUGUGUUUCAGAAAGGUCAUUUUGCGGGGCCGAUCACAGGGGCUUAAUCGCUUUAGACUUUUCGUUCCCUUGUGGGCUCUACGACAGUCAGCAUCUCUUGAUUGAGGCCAGGAUAGGAUGGAUUUUAUAGUUAUUAUGACAGUCUUUGAAUUGAAUCUCUCAUAUACUCUUUUUUUCCCAUUUCAACUUUGCCUAAUUCAUAAGUUUUGCGUGGGAUGGACCCUGUAAACCUUGAAUCUGAGACGAGCUUAAGAAUAUAUAUUUCUAAGAUUUACCCUCAAACGUUAUGUAUCAGCUGAAGUUUCUUUCGUCUUUUCUUGUUCCUAAAAUUCAGAUGUUACGUUUUCUUCUUUUCCGGCUUGAAGUACUAGUGACAUGUUCUGAAUCUCUGACAUUCACUUGUCUCUUCAAUGUAGUUGAAACUAUGCAAAGCGCUUGUAUCAGUUGUUUAUUUGACAUGGGUAUUUCAUUUAAAGAUCAUUUAAUUGCUCUAAAAUGAGAUCAAUAGUAUCCAGAAUUUUACAGUGGUAAACUUGCAUGAUCAUGCUGCUUUUUAACUGAAAUUCCAUCACUUGAUUGAUAUGGCGAUACGUGCUUAUCGGAAAUGUCACUUGUGUGGCCAAUCGUGUAUAUUCUAAAACAGAAAGCUCCCAACAGAUAGGCCAAAAAGAGUUGGAGCAACAUGGGUUGCAUUACUCAUUUUGGUGUUAGGCCAUAUGCAUAAACGGGUCCACAUAUUGUCUAUCAGCAUAUUUGGUUUUCUUGUUAUCAUAUAUCAUCAGAAUUUGGAUAUUGAUCUAGUCUCUACAUGCUUUUGGAGAAUAUGGCCAAGGGGAUGUAUUACAAUUCACUAACGUUUUCAUCAGCAUCAUUAGGAAUCUUUUGUGGAUUAUAUUCUCCUGUUUGUUAUUUGUGUAUUAGAAAAAUACCGGAAGUUUGUGAACGGUGGCUUGUAUCAAUAAUUUUUGAGUCAGGCUGGUGGGCCAUACAGUAACAAAUAUAAGGUCCCAAUCAGUCUACCGCGUAUUUUAUGAACUUUAUUUAUCAUAUAUUCACCUGCCAAAAAAUCUAAGCUAUUAGAUGAACUGGCAAAUACUUCAUCACAACUUUUUUCCUUUCGGAUGAUUUCUUGAACAUGUUGUACACUUCUGAAGAGUUUUAGUUUCACCUAUUAGUUUGUUAGUUUGUUUAUUUUUGUUAGCUUGUGCCUCGAUCAUUUGAAAUCUGUACAUCUACUUUCUCCAGAAAUGGGAAAACUGCACACUCAAAAAAGAGAAGAGUUAGAGAGGAAAAGUAAAACAAUAUAUGAAUUGACGAAUGAUCCAUAUAUAUUAAUCAGAUCAUGAAAACCCUGAUGGUCAUAGAAGAAGAGCUAAGACAGUUGGUCAUAGAACAUAAAUUGCAGAAUUACUCCAGUUGAAUUUUGCAUCGGCAAGAAGUUUAUGGUGCAGAGGCUUCUUUUCUUUUGCCUCUCCUUUGACACAUCCGUCUAGGUAUGGCAAAUAGGGGGUGAUCAGCAAGAUUAGGAAUUCUUUCGUUCGCCUAUCGUUUCACUCACCAAUUCCCAACUUAAAAUUAAACCUUGUCUCAAUUGACACAUUACAUUCUGCAGCCUUCAUCAAUCUCGCUUCUAUGCAUGGAUUAAACUUCUCUCAGAGGAGGAAUUCGUGGUAUAUCUACUGGACAAGACCAUUGCAAGCUCAUUCAAAGGACGAGAAAUAGGUGAUGAAAAGCUAAUUGCAGUGCUUGAUCUGCAAAGCAUAAGUUACAAAAAUGUUGAUGCACGCGGACUCAUCACUGGGUUUCAAUUUUUACAGGCUUACUAUCCCGAGCGUUUAGCCAAGCUUUACAUUUUAAGCAUGCCCUGGUUUUUUGUCGGUGUGUGGAGAAUGGUUUCUCGAUUUCUUGAGAAGGCAACACUUGAAAAGGUUGUAAUUGUGAGCAAUGAGGAUGAGAAGAGAGAUUUCAUGGAGGAAAUUGGCGAGGAAGUAUUGCCGGAGGAGUACGGGGGUCGGGCAAAGCUCAUACCCAUUCAGGAUGUUGUACUUUCCCCUUUGGAUGGUUAAAGUAGAAAGAAUUCCCCAGCUUGUAUGUCGAAGAAAUAUGCAUCAUGUCUAGUAGCUGUUGGUAUUCAUUUGACCGGCUCCGAUGCUUUACAGUAUCUCGUCUCCUCUUUAUUGAUUAAUUUCAUGAUUUCUAUAUGGGAAGGCUUUCAAUGCAAAAAGAAAUAGCCCCAGCAUCGGACUAAAAGUAACGAUUUCACCUGUAAUGAUUUCAAAUUCUGUAGGUAGGAAUGUUAAUACCAAUGACAUCUUUGAGAA